GGAGUCGGACAAUUGGAAUCGGAGUCGGUACAUCGUCACCUCCGACUCUGACUUCGACUUUUUUGGUUAAAAGAACUCCAACUCCGACUCUGACUUACCGGAGUCGGAUUUUUGCUCAGCCCUAAGCUUUGAUCCUUUUGGUUGCAGUCCUGAUGUGCUGUUUGGCUGCUAACAUAGCACACCCGUUACCCCCCACCCCCAAAAAAAAAAAAAAAAAUCCCUUUUUCUCCUGGAGGCAGGACAAGUUGUUCAAUUAUCUGUACUCACGGCAAAGAAUUUGGACACCUUUUUCCUGCAACAGAAUAUUUCCCUUCUAUUCUACCUUUUAGCAAUGACUGUGGGUAAUCUAUUUUGGACCAGGUAUAUUUAUUGAAGAGCAUCCCGUUGCGCUUAUAUGCAAAUUAUUUGACCUUCACUGGCAUUUCGUUUAGUACCAGCUUAGAUUGGACUAAUGUGGGCCGGCUGCAUUGUCUAUUGCCUUGGUGGGAAGAUGCAACUCUGGAUUUUAUGAUCAGUGGGGGUUACAACGUUAGUUCACAGAUAAAACAGGAAGAUGCAGCAGGGCUUCCGCCAAAAGUUUUGUAGUUCUAGGCAUGAAUUUGACAGCAGGUCAGUC